CCUGGGGGUGGGGAGAGACAGAGGGAGAGAGGAACACUGUUAGCUCAGGAGUGCAGCGUCUGGUUCUUCCCCACUGGAGACACUUCAUUCUUUGUUAGAACAAGUGACUAGGCAUGAAUAGCAGAUUGCAUUGUAGAAAUGUAAGGUGCCGUUUUCAAUCUAAGCCCAGGCUGCAGGUAAGGCGUGUGUGUGCAUGUGUGCCCCUUCUGUUAGAGGGUUUGGAUGACAACCAUACCUGUUAACAGCUAAGCUUUUUCAUCUUCUAAAGGGCAAUCAAAGAACAUGAAAUACAUUAUAAAAGUCUCAGCUAAGUAUAUUUUUUCACAUCUAUAUUUCCAUUACCUGGAGGCUGAGGCAGGAGGAUUGCUAUGGGUUCCAGGGCAGCCUGAGGUACAGAGUCAGACCCUGUCUCAAAACGAAAACAACAACAACAACAACAUAAAAAGAAAAAGCACCACCAAUUUAGCUAUAAAACACACAGGCUGCAGAGCGUGAGUCCUCCCUACCAUCUGAAGGAAUCCAUCCUCACGCAUUCGCACAGAGCGCUCACAGAAUAAUUUCAGAAGGCUUAUGUGACUCCAAGGUCUUACAUAAUGGAGAUGCUCUUCUCCUGCUUGGGCACCUUUGCCUGGUGAGUCACGAGUUCCCUGGGGAUCCUCAUGUGCUUUGGACAGCACAGGCUCGUAGAGGCUCCUCUUCCCACCCAGAGAGCCGACGUCUGGUGUGGGGAGAGUGCUUUGCUGUUUUCCCAGGACGGCCUGUGCUGACUGCUCAGCACUGAAUCCUAACUCUGCCUUUCUCCCUUGAAGCUGCACUGCUCAUCAUGUGCACUCAAAAUGUCAGAUGGAGUGACAGAGAGUGGCAAGGCUCUGGGAGAGCGAGCAGUUGGAACACUCAAAAGCCACAGCAUCAUGGAAGUCUGUGGGGUGAGAGAGCCAGUUCUGACUGAACAGAAUUAAAGACCAACCAAACUAACUAACCAAAACUCAGAUAUGCUUAAUGUCUUCCAGCCCCAGUUCAAGACACAGUGAGAGAAUUUCUAUGGUGACCCUUAAAAAAUAAUUUUCUCAUGAGCUAAAAGAUAUGGCUGAAGCCCACAUUCAGAGGAUAGCAAAUCAGAUACCAGACUAAAGGUAUCUUGUUUUUCAUAUGUAAGUGUGUGUAGUGUGGGUGCCUGUUUGAAUGUGCAUGUGUAUGCAUAAAUGUGGGGACCAGAUGCAGAUACAGUGCAUCUUCCUUGAUCUUCCCGCCUUGUAUACUGAGGCAGGGGUUCCUCGGUUGAACCUAGAGCUCUCAGUUCAACUAGACUGGCUGCUUGGCUCACUUUUCCUGGGGACUGGAAUUACAGACAAGGUGGUCUGCCAACACCACUUUAUGUAGGUGCUGUGGAUCCCAACUGAAGCUGGCCCACCUGUGCAUCAAUUACUGCUUAGCGCUGGGAAAGGGCUAUGUGAAGGUCUUUAGGUAAGGCAAAGAUCUGGGUUGAUGAGGACAGGAACUUAAGGCUUUGAACAGAACUAAUCUAAGAAUCUUGAGCCUUUAGAAAUUUCAUCAUAUUGGAAACCAAUCUAUCUCCUAAGAACAUUAAUGUUCUCUUACAUAAAAAAGGUUUCAAUGGCCUCCCGUAGGGUGGCUGCUGGAGAAGGAAGUGCCUAGCCUCUCUAUUGAGGCAGGACCCAUCGUCACCAAUACUCAAGGCCUGUAGUACCACAGAGAGACAUAAGGGACAGUAUGAACAUUUUUCAAUACAUAAACUUGUCAGCCUAGAAGAUCAUUAUCUUGAAGAACACAAAUGGCCAGAAUUCACCUCUGCUAACCCAUGGAACCUGUGACCACUGAAGAGGUUGGAUUUGUCAUUUAAAAGAUAUUCCAUUACCAGAUGGGUUUCUUAGACCCUAACAGUUAAAUCCUAACAAGUAAAGACCAAUAAGGCUUUAAUACAAUUUCCUUUACAGAAAGGAAGAGUUUCCAACUCAUGAGGACAAUAUUUGCUUGACUCCCAAAUCAAACAGAAACCAAACAAACAAAACCUGAGCCCCAGAACAUUAUAGACUAACAUCUCUCAUGAGAAUAGACUAAAAGUUACUCAACAAGUAACAUCAAAAGGGAUUAAAACAACAAACAAACAGACUAUACACAGAGAUCAAGGGAGAGCCACUCUGGGCAUGUAAGGGGCUGAAUAGUUGAAUCUAUCAAUGCGUCAACAAGCUAACUAAGGAGAAUCAUGUGAUCUUAAUAACACUUAUACAAAGCAUUUAAGCUGGGAGUAGUGCUUCAUGCUGGGAAGACGAGAGCUGAGAGGAUACAACAGGACAACGGUCAUGAAUUAAUGGCUAGCUUGGAUUACAUAGUGAGUUCUAGUCCAACCAUGAUUACAGAAUAAGACCUGUACCUCUAAAGAAAGAAAGGACUGGAGAGAUGGCUCAGAGGUUAAGAACACUGUCGCUCUUGCAGAGGACCUGGUUUCAGUUCUCAGCACCUACAUGGUGGUUCACAACUAUCUGUAAUCCCAGUCUAGAGGACCCAACAGGCAUGUAUGUGUGCAUAUACAUAUAUGCAGGCAGUAAUAUACAAAAUAAAAUAAAGAGAGAAAGAGGACGGCAGGGGAGAGAGGAAGGAAGGGAGAGAGGCAGAAGGAGGGAGGGGAAAGAAGGGAGGAAGGGGAGGGAGAUGGGAAGACAAAGCAUUUGACAACAUACACUUCUCACCCUAAAUGGUAUUAGCAACGAAAGAGCAAACGGUGUUCCCUUAAGAUGACAGAUGAGAAAAGCAAGGAGUUCCUCUCAGAACCACAGCUGAGUGCUAGAAAGUCUAACCUCUGCCAUAGAGCAAGAAAAAGGCAAACAGAAGUAAAGGUCUUAUGUUCUGGCUAUGCAGAAAAAUCCUUGUAAUGUACAAAAAAAAAAAAAAAAAACCCAACAAACAAAAAACAAACAAAAAAACCUAGUAAGCAACAGCAAUAAGACAGUUGCAAAAACAAAUUGUAUUUCUUUAUACUAACAAUGAACACAUGGAAAUUGAAGUAAAACUACCAUUUAUGACUACAAAAAGAAAACCAAAUCUCUGGGCAUAAACAAAGCAUUUUAGCAUCUGAAUGCUAAUAAUCAUCAGUUGCUGAUAAAAGAAAUAAAGGAAAGCCUUGUUAGUGGAGACACACCACACUCAUCAGUAGGUCCAGGACUGCAGACAUCAGUUCUGAGCAAACUGAUCUCUGGGCUAAAUGUAAUUCUCAUAGGAAAUCUAAAAAGGGGUUUUGGAGACAAAACCAGCCAGCCAGCCAACCAACCAGACCCAAGAAUAAGCUAAAAAGCAAAAACUAAAACAAAAAAACGUAGACCCAAGAAUGAGCUAAAACAACUUCCAAGAGAAGAAGGAAAUAAGCUGUCAACUCUCCUUGUGUUAAGUCUAUGACAGCUGCAGGUUGAUGCUGGGUGAGAGGCAGAUCGAUGAAAUGAACCAGGAUCUUAGAAAAGCUGCAUGAGUGUACGUAACAGAGAUGGCUGAUCGACGCUGUUGAUCAGCAGGAUUUAGGAUCAUCAUGGAACCAAUCCCCUGGGCAUGUCAGAGAUUUUCUAGAUUAAAUUAAUUGAGGUAGAAGACCCACCUUAAAGGGCAGGUGGCACCAUCACAAGUUCAAUGUUAGCCUGGGCUACAGAGUAAGCCAGAUGUGAUGCCACCUUUAAUACCAGUACUCAAGAGGCACAGAAGGCAGAUCUCCGAGUUCAAGGCCAGCAUGGUCUAUGAAGUGAGUUCCAGGACAGCUAAGGCUACACAGAGAUAACUUGUCUUGAGAAACCAAGAGACAGAGACAGACAGAGACUUUGUCUCAAACAAACAAACAAACAAACAAACAAAACAAAACCAACUAAAUUAAGCAAACCUGUCUUUAAAAGACAAAGGGCAGUAAGGAAACUUGGCUUUGCCGAGCUCUCCUUUGUGGUCCCAGGGAAUUGCAGCACGGCCAGUGCUAGGCAAGUGUGCUCUGCCCUGAUCUGUCUCCAGCUUUUACUUUCCACUUUGAGACAUGGCCUUUUUUCUCACUAUGUUUUCCAGGCUAACCUUGAACUUACUCAACAGCCCAGGAAGAUGCUGGAGUUGCAAUCCUCUGCCUCAUCUACUCCCUGGUCCUGAACCCCCAAGCCUGGCUGGAAUUGUUUUUCUUACUGUAGGAAAUUAUAUACGCUUUUUGUUAGUUUCCAUUGCUGGUAAGUUUUGUUUGAUAGUGUGGGGUGGUAGGGUCUAGGGACUCACAUGCUAGGCAAGCACUCCGAUGCUGAGCAAUGUUUCCACCCUUCUCUGUUACUAAAGUCAGAACUCUACCUGUAGUUAUUUUUAUUCGACAUUGGGAUAUAUACAUUUGUAUAAGUCACAAGUAAAAUGGCUUUAGACACAAAAGAUAUUAAGUGUAUAAUGCAUUUUGGAGAAUUAGCUGAUAAAAGUGGACUCUGCCUUUCACGAUUUAUUUUAGCUUUACUUGUUUGUGUGUGUUUGUGUGGGGCUGUGUACACGAGUGUAGCUGCCCUCAGAAGCCGAGGGACUGGAGCCUCUGGAGCACACACAACUGCUGGGGAGUGCUCCGGCUUAGUCUUGGUUUUAACCAUAAUUACGGGAAGCCAACUCCUUCGUAGCAAGGAUAUUCUAUCCUUAAUGCUGGAACCAGUAAGCUUCUAACUGUUAAGCCUCUGAGUAAAAGAAGGAAGUCUAUGAAGGCCUGCUGGCAGGAUGAGUGGCCCAGAGGUUCUACCUGGGCUACAAGGACACGACAGGGUUGCACACUUAUCUGUUUCUGAGAGGCUCCUGUAGCAACAGACUGUGUCUGUGUAGUGUGUGGAUGGUCCAGUUGUCUGACGCAAGUUCACUGUGUGCUCACUGUGGCCCCAGAGGCUUGACGGUUUUAAGGGAGAAAGAGAACUAAGCAAUAGCUCCAGUUAGGAAAGGCUGCCGACAAGUUCUACAAAGACCUCGAGGCAUGACGCAUACGUAGAAUCUGUGUGUUUACAGCUGAGGCAGAAGAAAGAGCAUUUGAGCUAGUUUUAAAAUACAGAACUACGAUGAUUCCUUACGAGACAAAUCACAACGCUGCUGGCACAGACUAGAGCCCACAAGCAUCGUGAGAAAUGUGGGAUUUUCUCUUGUAAUGUGUUUGCUGAUUAAAAAUAAAAAGCAUAUCUUUGACUCAUUACAGAAAUUCAAGCCAAAAGAAGAAUAAUAUUUAUAUGAGCUGAUAGAAUGAAGUCCCACGCACAUAACUUGUGGAAAAGCCACCUAACAGUGUGUCGUAUACUGUUACAUUUAUGCUGUGGCAAUUUUCUCACGAGAACAUCCCCGUGCAGAACCAGAGGCUGCCCUAGACUCUGGGAGCAGGAAGAGUUAGGUGAUGUAGUUACUGUAAAUUCCUAGUACGGAGCACAGCACACAGUAGGUGGUUGAUUAGUAAUUUCUGAAUAAGGCAAGGAGAAAGAAACAGAACACCUGCUGGCAGUUAGUUAAGACAGGCCUGCGUUCCCAGCUACCCAGGAGGCUGAGGCAGAAGAACACAGAAGAACAGCAAGUUCAAGGCCAGUUUGGGCAACAUAUGAGUCCUGGCCUCAAAAGAUGAAAUGUAAGGAGGGCAGGAGUGGGUGUAGCUCAGUGGCCCAUUACUUGCCUAGCACAUGGGAGGUUCUAGGUUCCAUCCUGAUACUAGGGGAAAAUAAAAACCAAACAAAUAUAUAUCUUUUGAAGAGUAUUUUUCUUAUGGGACCUAGCAUAAGUUACCUUGAGGGUGUCAAUAGGCUUCUCUUAGAGGGAAAAAAAAAUCCCGAACAUCCAUGCAAAUAAUGUAUUUCUGAUAUGACUUGGUUUUCUAGAAGGAAGUGAUAUGAAUAAAAGAAAGGGCAAGGAGGUGUGAAACAUCUCACAGGAGAGCACACCAGGAAAGAACUAUCUGGAAGAGGUCAUUAAAAAGUAGACUGCCAUCUAGAGGGAGGAGGGAGUGUGGCCGUGUUCUGCACACCUAACCAAAGGGUCCUGGUCCCAAGGUGCAAGGACCUCGAACCCACAGUGCUCAUGUAGUCACUCUGCAGCACAGACUAAGACUCCCUCCAAGAAUCAGAGUGUCAUUCCAGGACUGACAGCAGCCUGAAGGGAGCCACCUCACGGCUGCCUCCCCCAGGCCCUUUUAGUGUGCAUAGGUCAAUACAUGCCAGUGUGUGCCUUCUGAGAUGCACAGAGCACCAAAGUAUUUCUUACAAGGAAUCAGUGGCCUACUCAUGUUUUAGCAAUUAAGGUUCAAUUUCUAAAUUGAUUAUCAAUUUUUAAAAAUAAAAUUCUAUCUUCUUUGGUAAGUCAUGACAAACCUUUUCUACAAAUAUACAGUUGUUUAUAUGUAAUAUUGCAUAUGUAUACACAUGUCCAUAAACACAAAUGUUCAUAUUCAUAUUGACAGAAAUCAGUUGAUAUUAUGUAUACUUUUAUGCAACAUAUCGUCAAACAUUCUGGUAAAUUAGGAAUUUUUUGUUAUGGCCAGCAAGGUGGCUCAGUGCAUAAAGGCAUUUGUGAUGCUAAACUCCAGACCUGAGUUUGAUCAUCCCUGGAGCCCAUGUAAAGAUGGAAGAAACAACUUCACAAAACUGUGCUUGGACUUUCACAGACGUGUUACACACAUACAUUUUGUUUAGAAAUGUAAAAACAAUCUUGUGUGCAUAUAGGGUUGAAAAUUAAAAAUGCAAGUGUGCCAACCACAUUCUGGCUGGAGCUUGUCUCCAGAAGUUAAUUGCUGGCAAUGGUUGCCAGUGUGACGGCAUGUUUGGCAGAACCUUUAAGAAAUGGGGCUAUUAGGCUGAUGAGAUGGCUCAGUGGUUAAGAGUGCCGACUGCUCUUCCAAAGGUCCUGAGUUCAAAUCCCAGCAACCACAUGGUGGCUCACAACCAUCCGUAACGAAAUCUGAUGUCCUCUUCUGGAGUGUCUGAAGACAGCUACAGUGUACUUACAUAUAAUAAAUAAAUAAAUAUUAAAAAAAAAAAAAGAAAUGGGGCUAUCAUGAGGUGUAGGAUCCUGGAAACUUCAGUGUCAUGAGUGGAUGAUACCUGUGCUGGGCUGAAUAUGAAUGGUUCCCAUUGGCUCACAGACUUGAACACCUGGUCUUAGGGAGUAGCACUACACUUAAUAGGGAUUAGGAAGUGUAGCCUUGUUGAACUAAGUGUGUCAUGGAGACGGGCUUUGGGUCAAAUGCUCAAGUCAGGCCCAUGGCCUCUUCCUAGUGCCUGCGGAUCCUGAUACAGAACUCUCAGCGACCUCUCCAGUACCAUGUCUGCCUGUGUGCUUACACACUUCAUGCUAUGACAAUAAGGGACUAAAACUGGAAAUGUACUCAUGCCCAAAUUAAAUGCUUUCCUUUACAGGAAACUGCUAUAGUCACAGUCUCUCUUCAUCGCGAUAGAACAUUGAGUGAAUGAGCCUGAUCUGGUGGCUUUGGAAUAAGAAGGGCGGAGCCCAGCUUCUGCCAUGCCUUUCACUUCUCCUGCCUCAUCACAUGUCCUUGUGUCACUGAGGUGCCACCACAGCUGACCAGAUGCUAGCUCCAUGCUCUUGAGUCUCUGUGACUAUGAGCAGAAUAAACAUUCUUUCUUUGUAGAACACUCUGCCUCUAGUAUUUUUUGAAGGAACACAAAACAGUUAGGCAUCUCAGACUUUGUAAUUCCCAAUUCCUCCUUCCAAGACUAGUCACAAAAAUGGUUGACUUGACAUCUUUCAGGCUUUUCAGUGCAUGUGCAUGUGAAUGCACACAGAUAUACACAUGUGUGUUUCUUUCUAUUCUCUUUUCCAAGAUAGGGCUUCUCUUUGAUACAGCCCUGGUUAUUCUGGGAUUCACUCUGAACUCACAGAUCUGCCUGUCUCCCAAGUGCUGGGACUAAAGGCAUAUGUCAUCACUCCUGGCUCUGGCUAUACAUAUGUAUUUCAAAACUAUCUUGCUCAGACUACUAGGGAAUAUUAGUUUUGUCUUUUUGAAUGCCCCUUCAACAGUAUUCUCACUGUCCAAUAGAGUGACUGAAAUGCAGGGAUGGAGCCUGACUGCCAGGGUUCAGAGCCCAGCUCCACCAUGAGACUGCUCUAGUGCGCUGAGGAUUACAGUUACGCUGACCACAUGAAGUGCUGAGGGUUAUGACUCAGCUUAGCAAUAGCUGAACAAGGAGGCACCUGAGCCUGGCACACCGUGGGAGGAACUGUAUGGCAGGCUACCGCUCACCUGUCAAGCGGGAGCUCCUGGCGCUGGGUCUUUCCACAGCACCCUCAGGGCCCAACUGCACAAAAGCAGGGCUGCUAGCCACCCAAACCCAGAUGCUGUACUUUCUGUGAUGCAAACUUGAUCCAGCAUUUACGGACGAGCCAUACAGGCGGCUGUUUCUAACUACCCUGGUGAGUUAAGGGAGCCCUUUUAAAGCUGGUGACAGCUGCUUUUAUGGCAAACUGCUUAGGCUACGGGCCCCCAUUGCUCAGGCAAAUCAGGCUCAAUGUUGCUGUGGUCAUUUUUACAAGAUGUGAUUCAUAUUUAAAUUAACAGACUUUGAGUUAAACAGAUCCCUCCCUCCCUCCCAUACAAUAGGUGAGCCUCCUCCGACUAAUCUCAAGAGCAAAGCUGUAGAAGACAUUCUCCCCAAGACACAGAAACCCUGUCUGAUCUUGCGGCUGCUGCUCUGAAGCACUAAGUCCCACCAUGAAGUUCUGAGUAGCAGUCCUCACAAUUGUCCGUGAAAUCAGUCAACCUUCUCUCCCAAUCUGGGAGGAAAAUGAAAAUCUCUUGAGAACCUGCUACAGCGAAGUGAUGGCUUGCUGUAAUAAACACGCCCAGGAAUGUGGACAUAGUGCCACACUGGCUAAUAGAGGCUGGAAGGCUUUGAGGUAUAUGAUAGAAAAAGCCUAUGCUGCUCACAACUGCCACAGACAGAAAGAUAGGAGAAUGUGGUGAGGAAAGACUGGGACUAGAGAGGGUGUUUUUAUGGUCUUAGGGACACAGAGCUGCCUGAACACAAUGCUGAUAUAUGUAGUGUGCUCCUCAUGGCAUAACAGAACACGGCCCUGGAAACCAUGGGCUGCUCUCUGCCUUCACCGAGUCACGUUCUCUGAGGCAGAAAGCAGAACUUAGAGGUGAUAGUGAAAUAACUUUUUUUUUUUUUUUGUUUGGUUUUUCGAGACAGGGUUUCUCUGUAUAGCCCUGGCUGUCCUGGAACUCACUUUGUAGACCAGGCUGGCCUCGAACUCAGAAAUCCGCCUGCCUCUGCCUCCCGAGUGCUGGGAUUAAAGGCGUGCACCACUUCUCUGUGGUUUCUAAGUCAGGUGCCCAGAGCACCCCUUGAUUUGUCGCUUACAGUAAGAUGCGAAGGGAAAGAAGGAAAGCAGGGGAAUUUUAUUGUUAACCAAAAAUGAAGCAGACCUUGAAGAUUUGGAAAAUUCAAGCUUUCUUGAACCAAAUGUUGAGUAUGGUGUGGUGGGGAAACCUUCCUUAACUAGAUCAGGUUGAAAGAGAAGUAAAAAAUAGAUGCUGGAGAAAAGGCAGCAGCUUCAACAAGUGGCUACAUGCAGAAAUGCUGCUCUCUUGGACAGGCCAAGGAAAGAGGAAGAUGGAGGACUGUAAGACAUUUGGGUCUCAUGGGUCAGAAUGGACUCAUGAGCCAUCCAGCUGCAAGCAAGGUCUGCCUGAAGGAAAAAAAAAAUCAGUCUGAGGUGGGGUUUACCAAGCCUGAGGGGUGGGGCUGUCCUGCUAGGGGGCACCAAGAAGACAGUCCAUGGUGGCCUGUGGGGCUUCUGCUUGUUAGAACCUGGGAUCCUUCUUUCCUUCAAAAGUUCUCUCAUCUCAUACUACGCUGUGCAGCCCCUACCUGCCCCACAUCACACACAGGAAUGGAGGGAGACACUGUCUGCUUUCAUGUUUGCAGAUGGGAGUCUUGCCGAGGAAGAGUAAUAUACUAAGUUUGGCCCGUACCUAAUGUAAACAAUAUUUAAGACAAGAAUCUGUACAUUUAAGAGUUGAUGCCAAAGGUGCUUAAUGUUGAAAUGUUCCUCAGCCAUUUGUUUCUCAUCUUGGGAACUGUUUAGUUGUACCCCUUUUAUAAGUUGGGUGGCUUUUUUGAUGUUCACGGUUUUUUUUUUUUUAAGUUUUUUUUUCUAUUUUAGAUAUUAACCUUUUACUGGAUACAUAUUUGGUAAAGGUCUUUUCCCAUUCUGUAGCCUGUCACUUUGCCUGAAUGAUGGUGUCCUUUGUUAUACAGACAUGAAAUCUCCUCCACUGUCAUUCUUAGUGCCAAUGAGCUCAAGACUAUUUCUCACUUUGUCUUCUAUCAGAUCAGGGCGUCCAGCGCUAUGUUAAGGUUCUUAAUCCAUUUAGAGUUGAGUUUUGUGCAGGGUGAGAAAUAUGGGUGUGUUUACAUUCUACUACAUGUAGCCACACAGUUUGACCAGGACCAUUUGUUGAAGAUGCUGUCUUUUCUCCAGUGUCUAUUUUUGACUUCUCUUUCAAAAAUCAUGUGUCUUUGGGUGUGUGGGCUAUGUCUGGGUGGACAUGUUGCCUCAUGUCUGUGAUCCUAAGACUAUGGAGGCCAGCCUGGCUUACAGGAAACAAAAUCUUUUACACACAUUGGAACAAAGUGAGUUAUUUUGUGAGAAAGGCAUGGACUGUGUGUUGGGGGGCGAGUAACACUCUGGAAUCACACAUGGUCUUUAAGUUCCUUUCCUGACAAUGAUCCUAAACCCUUUGGAAUUGUCUGCAUGUGGAUAAUCUGACUGGCCCCUCAGUGCACAAUUACAUAGUUUCCACUUUCAGCCCCACCCAUCUUCCAUCAUCUGGGAGAGCAUAAAGUGCUGAGCGGAGUUGGUUCCCAGUGGCCAGUGACUUCAUCGCUUAUAUCUAUGAAGUACAUUAGAAACUGAAAGAACUGGGUUUGGAUAGCUUCCAGAGAGUAGACAAUGUGGUAUAGAGGGCAGUGGAUCUCAGAGAGCAUGGCUGUUCAGUGCACUUCCCACAUGCCCUGCCCUCUGCAAUUCUUCCCCCUGGCUGCUCAUCAGGAGUCUCAAUAAUAGCAGGGAAACAUAAGUGAAGUGCUUCUCAGAGCUAGGAGCCAUUCUAGAAGAUGAACUGAACCCACGGAGGAAGUGAUGUCAACUGUCUCUAAACAGCCUUCUAUCCAUAGAUCACUGUUGCUUUUAGCCUUGGUUAGAGAAGCUCCUGUUUCUAGUGGGAAGUGGUUAGUGGAGCCUUAUAAUUGGCCAAGGCAUUGAGAGUAAGACUCUGGAGUGUCAAGCCCUAAAUGGAGUAUGGGACACUGUGGAAAGACUGUAAGAGCCAGAGGACAGGAAAGACUGCUAGGAAACACUAAGUGGUUACACCCAUGAGUUCACAGCAGUGGUGGUGAAGCCUGCACAGGACUGAGCCCGUCAACAUUCCAGUGAGAAGAGGAAGGGGCUUAUGGAACCUCCUGCCUCCCUGAGGAUGCCACUUACUGGGAGAGAGGAGUGUCGUAGUUCAAGGUGAUGGAGGUACCACCAGUUGCUCCUCAAGGACAUAACCUCCCAUCCUAACUAAAUGCAGUAAGUGUGCUCUCUCUCUCUCUCUCUCUCUCUUCACUCUCUCUCUCUCUCUCUCUCUUCACUCUCUCUCUCUCUCUCUCUCACACACACACACACACACACACGCACACACGCACACAUUAACAUAGGAAGAUUUGGGGAGACAAAGGGCGUAGAAGUAGAGGGAAGGGGUUAAGAGGACAAAGGAAGAGUAUAUUACCAAAGUACAAUAUACACAUAUACAUACAUGCAAUUGUAAAAGAAUAAGUUUAAAUGUUUAUUUUUAAAAAGUAAAGUUUCCAGAGUGGUGGUUUUUUCCUUGUUUUUCUUAUCUCAAAUGUACUAGAGAUCAUUAUGGGUAGAGUUUUAUCUCUCCCAAAUUCCUUAUAAGUGGUCCCAGCCCCUAGUAUUUCAGAAUGUGUCUUAAUACCCUCCUCAAGGGAGCUGGAUAGAUGGCUCAGCAGUUAAGAACACUGACCACUCUUCCAAAGGUCCCGAGUUCAAAUCCCAGCAACCACAUGGUAGUUUAACCAUCCAUAAUGGGAUCUAACACUCUCUUCUAGUAUGUCUGAACACAGCUACAGUGUACUUACAGAUAAUAAAUAAAUAAAUAAAUCUUUUAAAAAAAGGCCCCCCUCAUUGCAGAGGGGUCCAGCACAUAUCCUGAAGGGAAUAGCACGUGCACACAGAGGCCAAGAAGAAUGCUGAGAUAGACACGUCCUGUUGGAUUCCCAACCAGGUCUAUAACAAUCAUGCCACAGAGUGAAGCUCCCAUGAAAACUCGAGCCAAGGUUCAGGAGCUCUCAGACAGGUGAAUGCAUGGCAGUUCUGGGAGGCUGACACACCAAGGGAGGGUAUGCACACCUCUUCCCCAGGCCUCUUCUGAGCAUCACUGAGUAUGUACUCUCAUGAUGUUCUUUACAAUAAGGUGGCUAUGUACUUUCCUGGGCUCUGCGAGUUGCUCAAAUAAGUUAACUGAACCCAAAGAAUAAACUGUGGGAGCCCUGAGUGUACCUACUACUUAGAGGCAUUGGUCAAGCUAGCUGGGACUUCUGAGUGUUUUGCAGAUGGGAAGGACAACCUUGGGGUCUGAGCCUCAGGCUGUGGGAUCUGCUACCAUGUCCAGGUAGACAGUGCCACACAACUAGUGUCAUGUGUGUGGAAAACCCUGAACACUAUAUUGUGUAUACAGUAAAACAAACAGCACAAGUUUGGAUUGGGGGCUUGUUUGUUUUUCCCAAGAACAAGCAUCAAAUUAAAAAGGUUCAGAGUAGAGCUUCUGUACACAGAGAACAUUAAAAAAUACAAAGCGGUUGGAACAGGAACCUACAGCGAAUCGAAUAGGAUUACUCGGGGCGAGGGAGGAAUAAGCAGAGCUUGGGAGAGGAGCAGGCAGAGACAGGGAAAGGUGGCUUCGUCUGCUGAACGGCGAUCGUGUGCCAGGUGUUUGCCUUCCUCAUCUGUUACUUACAGCUAUGGCCAGCAACGCAGACUGUUCUGUCCCCAUUUUGAGGCUCAGGGAAGCUUGGCAGGCUGCCCAGGUUCUCAGUGCAAAGUCUAUGCUUUCUGUCUCUUAUCCCACUUAGAUUAAGGAACAGAAACAGGGCUGGGGGGAUAUGCCUUGCCCACAAGGCCAUGGGCUCUGUUCCCAGCCCUGGGAGAAAGAAAGAAGGGAAACAAAGACAGGAGAAGAGGGAGGAGAGGGCAGUAGAAGAGCAGGGGGCAGGUUUCAUGAAAUGAUCCAAGGCUGAUGUGGGCACACCCCUGUCACCAUCCCUCAGGAGGCCAAGGCACAAAGUUCCUGUGUUUGAGGUCAACCUUGGCUGUUACAUAACAAGAUUCCAUCUCACACCAAAAUGAUCACAAUGGAACUCACACUGGCACUGACAAGGAGGGAGACGCUCCCACAUUUGGAAAGUUCCCCAGACAACAUGGCUCAGGACUUAGUGAACAUUCGCCAUGAAUGCAAAGCACUCUGCCAAGGAAUACCGAGUGGUACGGGAACGCCGGAACGCCGUUGGAAGCAAUGGAUUCAGAACAGCAGCAAGCGCUCACGUGCGGAGUGCGGCUCGCACUUCCGGUUGUGCCAGAAUGGCUAUCAUCAAGAAAACCAAUGACAACAAAUAUUAAUGAGGGUGUGAGCAAGAGGACUCUCUACUCACUGCGAGUGUGAGGGUGACCAGUACAGCCACCAUACAAGUUUCUGGAGAUAUCCCCCAUGCAGGACCAUUUUUACCACUAAGGAUGUAGUAAGAGACUGACAAUCCCGGAGAAGCCAGCACUCAUGAGGCUGGCACAGAGCGAGAGUGUCAGGGCACUGUGGUAGCCAGCCAGCCUCUACUUGGCUCUCCAGGGCCCUCCCCUCCUAGCUGUGUGAAGAUGGCUGACCGGGUGGUCAACAGGAUUUAAUGUGUGCCUCCGAGUGGGACACAGGAGUCGGGCAUGCUUGCAAACCGUACACUCGGGCAGUCAGCAACACCUGUGUCUACACAGCAACUACUUCCUAACUGUGGCAGAGGCUGAACUGACCUCGCAGGGCAGCCUCUGAGGGUCAGUGUGGGAGCUGGCUUACAUUGUCUGUAUGACGACUGACUGAGGUCAUUCUGCUCACCAUGUGGAAGAAUCAGGCUAUAGUAAAACCCUUUAAGAAUUCA